AAUGUAGUAGAGUUCAUAUAAUUAUGAACUUCAUAUCGGACAGGCUAUUGACGUUACUUGCAAAUCAAAGGAUACCCUGAUCUUGUAUAUAUGCAAUUGCUCGCUCUCAACUCCAAAAGUAGUGAUCAAUGGUGUGAUAUUUUAAUGAAAGUGGUACCGCACCAAUAUACAGUCAGAAAAUACCGCAUUCCAGAAUUACCAAAAUACAGCUCAUAUGUGACAGAUCUAGUCAUGGGUGUGCUCCAAGCUUCUCCAGAUGACUGACCAGACAUCACACAGCCACGUGCUUGGCUUGGUUGGCUAUUCAUCUCCAUGAAUUUAGGUGUGCUAGGGAUUUUCUUUUUUCGUGAAGCUUCAAGUCUGAAACAAAUAUUGAAGAGGAGUGAAGAAGGAUUGAACCCAAGUGCUCACAUUUUGGAUGCAGAUAGUUGCCAUAUUCUAAUUGUACUCGCAUGGUCGUGCUCUGUUUUUAUUUGGCAGUAUGCUAAACCAAGUGAACCACUUGAUAACUAUGGAAAACCAUGGAUGCUUAGGUUUUUCUCACUUUCUUGGUCUAUGUUCUCUUAUACAAGCAUGGAGAAAAGCAGAGAUGUAUUGAGCUUUGGCAGUAAGAAAUUUUAAUUGCUUUGGUCUUUUCUUGCUGCUAUUCCCUUUCGAGUGUAAUAAAAGUGGAGAUUUAACUCUUGCAAUAUAUAAAAUUGCAAGAUUUAUG